GGGCUUUCAUCCGGGGCGGCGCGCGGCUAUAUCUGUCUUGUCCUGAGCAAUCGGGACUAUGGCGAUAAACGCGCGCGUAAUAAGCGGUUCGGACCCGGGGGCGGUACCCGGCGGCUCCACCAACCACCCGUUCAUUCACGGGAGCAGGGGCCGAAACAGGAUCGACGGACGUGUAAAGGCGUUAUGCUUUCGCUCGGCGGGCCGCCACCGUUAUCGGCGCGAACAGUACAGUUGCGAAUGACAACCGUGCUCCGAUGGCUGUCGCCGCGUAAGCGGUUCCACCAUCGACCUCUGAAGUCCUGAGGCUUAGCCGCUUCAGGCGGGGCCGCCGGCGCCUGGCAACAGAAGCCGGCACU
rnacentral:tmRNA from 2 species